AUGCAAUCGCUGAAGCCCCGCCGCUUUCCCAAGCUAUGCCGCCGAUGGAUCUCGACGGACUCCGUGGCCGAUCUGCCCGCCCGGUCCUCGAGCUCCGAGUCCGGUCUGCAGGCGCUCGCUCUAACCCUUAACAAGCGCCUCGCCGACGAGGCCGGCAAGAACAACGACAACCUCAUCUUCUCGCCGGUGUCAGUCUACGCGGCGCUAUCCCUGGUGGCCGCCGGCGCCCGCGAGCGCACCCUCGCGGAGAUGCUCGGCGUCCUCGGCGCAGCGUCUCGUGACGACCUCGCGGGUUCCGUCCGUGCACUGGCGGAGCAGGCCCUUGCCGACCGGUCACAUACCGGCGGGCCAUAUGUCAACUUCGCGUGCGCCGUGUGGCACGACAAGACGAGGCCUCUCAAGCCCGCGUACGCCGACGCCGCCGUCAAGUCGUACAAGGCGCAGACGCACGCUGUAGACUUCCACGAAAAGCCGGUGGAAGCAGCGAAGCAGAUCAACGCAUGGGUGGCGGCGUCCACCAAUAACCUCAUCCCCUCCAUCAUUCAUCCACGCGCACUGUCCGAGCUGACCGACCUCGUGCUCGCCAAUGCCAUCUACUUCAAGGGUGAGUGGCUCAAGCCUUUCCGCAAGGACCAGACCAAGGAGGACAAAUUCCACCGCCUCGAGGGCGGCAUCGUCGACGUGCCCUUCAUGCGUUACCGUGGCAGGCAGCGCAUUGCGUGCCAUGACGGGUUCAAGGUGCUCCAACUUUACUACGAGAGGGGCCAGCAGUUGGCUGCUCAGCCAUCGGCGCUCUACUCAAUGUGCAUCUUCCUCCCAGACGACCAUGACGGGCUAUGGCGGCUCACUGACAAGAUCGCAUGCAACAAUGACUUUUUGCGCGAGCACCUGCCGACGGGCACCGUCCUGGUCGGCGACUUUCGCCUGCCCAAGUUCAAGCUCGCCUUAUCCACAGACAUGACAAACGUUCUCCGAGACUUGGGACUAAAGGACGCUUUCGACCUGUGGAAGGCCGACUUGGCCGACAUGGUGGAGCAGAAGCCCGGCGUGAACCUGGCACUAGAGAAAGUGUUACACAAGGCUGUCAUCGAGGUAAACGAGGAAGGCACGGAGGCGGCUGCCGCCACCGCUGCUUGUCUUUGCAGAAGUACACGGGCCUACAAACCGCCGGCGCGUGUGGACUUUGUCGCUGAUCAUCCGUUUGCCUUCUUCGUGAUGGAGGAGGUCUCGGGUGCAAUUCUCUUCGCAGGACACGUCCUUGAUCCAUCAAGGGAGUGA
rnacentral:rRNA from 1 species